UACGGAGGGUGCGAGCGUUGUUCGGAAUUACUGGGCGUAAAGGGCUCGUAGGCGGCCAACUAAGUCAGACGUGAAAUCCCUCGGCUUAACCGGGGAACUGCGUCUGAUACUGGAUGGCUAGAGGUUGGGAGAGGGAUGCGGAAUUCCAGGUGUAGCGGUGAAAUGCGUAGAUAUCUGGAGGAACACCGGUGGCGAAGGUGGUUCUCUGGGCCUUACCUGACACUGAGGAGCGAAAGCGUGGGGAGCGAACAGG
rnacentral:rRNA from 1 species